UUUCCCUCAGGAUAGCUGGAGCUCGGAAACGAGUUCUAUCGGGUAAAGCCAAUGAUUAGAGGCAUCGGGGACGCAAUGUCCUCGACCUAUUCUCAAACUUUAAAUAGGUAGGACGGGGUGGCUGCUUUGUUGAGCCAUCCCACGGAAUCGAGAGCUCCAAGUGGGCCAUUUUUGGUAAGCAGAACUGGCGAUGCGGGAUGAACCG
rfam:Brassica napus, WGS project CCCW01000000 data, contig: 786